GGAAAAAUAACUGAUACUGCACCGGCACGCUACGUGUCACACAAUGUUAGGCGCCCACCUCUCAACAAAACCUUAUGCACUUUCACUUUACUAGUUUACUUUACGCCCCCACUGUCUAGUCUGCCAUAUGCCUUCUGUUCAAAUUUCAAAUUUAUCCCACGAAUCAUCCCCUACUUUUUCACGUAUCUCCGCAACCACAGCGACGCAGUGGGAGGUUAAGGUUGUAAUUUCAAUAACUAUAAUCCCACGAAUUCGAUUGCUGGCACGUGGCAAAACGCGCAAGCUCCACAAUCAAACCAACUGCGCGCUGCCGCUUGCCAUGCUAGAUGAGGAUAAAAAUUUGCCAUGUCAUAAUCCAUGUGGCAAUUCAAUGCCGAGUCAGCUUGGCCAAUGCCGUUUCACCUAUAAAUGCAAAAGCCCAUCCAUUUUCCACUCAAGCGUUCUCUACUCUCCAAGUCUUCACCCAAAAUUCACCUAACCCGACACGCAGGAAAAUCCUUUUUUUCACCUUUCCCCUUCCUUAAUUUCCUUUUGUUUAUCCGUGCCGGCUUGUUAUCUCGCCGGAGAGAUGAAUAUUCCGGCGAUUACUUUUUCUGCAUCUACACGCAAUGUCUGUGCUUACGACCAUCCCCGCCACGUUUUCCACGAAAAAAUCCUAAGCUGAAAGCCAUAAUCUUCCCUUGCAUAUCUUCCAAGUUAUUUGAUUUUUCUAAUCGCGGAGGAAAGGUACCAGAUUUUGCUUACACAUAAAUUUUGUGUAUGGGAUUACGAUUAAAAUUUUCAGAGGCUUUUUGAUUGGCUGGCGAUCCUGUUGAGGAUUCCAAUUUCGAGGUUUUUCGUGUUUUUUAUUUUCUUCUUUCGGUAAGGCGCUGCUGUUGUAGCUAAUGGGAGGAGGGGAGCGGGACAUCUGCAUGAGUUUGAUUGUUAACCUGUAGCAU
rnacentral:misc_RNA from 1 species